GUCAUUCGUGCUCUAGUUAAGGUAAUUUAACUAGAAGAUAGAAAUCUAGAUUUUUUUAUGUUACCUUCCACCAUGGCGCGACAGAAAAGAACGACAUUGGCAUCGAGGCACAUGUCGUUCGGGAAUUAACUUCCAGGAAAGCAAUAUAAAGAAUUUAGACUCCUAGCCUUCGAGUGUGAAUUGCCUUAACGAGAGCACCAAUGACA